GUGGUUCCUUUUUCUCGUGAUGUCCCCGCUCGCUGCGGAGUCGAUCAUGAUGAUACUCGGUGUUGGUACACCGGUGAAUUGAGGAAGAUUCGACCAUCCGGAAGCACGCGCCGAUUCGCCUCAAAUCGUCCGUGGCCAGAAAUUAUUGCCCGAAAUUAUACGUUUCGCGUGCUGGCUACAUCAAUUCCAACGUGCUGUUUUAUGGUUCCACGAGGGUUCUGCAUCACCCCCCGCAAUCUCAAUCACAACGCUGGGCCGCUCCUAUGUGACGGCUCUUUCGUUCGAACGAAUCCUCCAAUCUAACACAAUCGGGCACGUGACUCGAUACGGACCUCAUGAAAAAUGUCUCGUAGAAAAUUGAAGCGUCCUUCUUCUCCCUUGUGGUGCGCAGUUUGUAGGAAGCUCUUGUCGAGACCACCAAGCAUCUGCCUUUGCCGUUUGGAGAACGCGCAUGAUUUUCUUCCAGCAUUCGUUACCUGUUUUUGAAUGAAAUAUAAAUUUUGGCAGGCGUCUAUUAUUAUCGUUUAUCCUAAUGGGCUAUCUCGGCAUUAUAUACAUAAAAAAGGAAGGAAGAAAAGGCAAUACAGCACGAGCGCGAUAGCAGAUAUGAAAGAGCAUGACUUACAGGACGUCUCCUAGUUCCAAGAUGAAGAGCCAUAAGCCGCUCGUUUCCUUGCGAGAAAGAUUCGAGGUGGAAUCACCGUCAAAGGCGAUGCCGCGGAAGCCGUCGACGUCCCCCCGAGAUUGAUGCCCGUAGGCGAAUUUAAAAGUGACAGGGUGAAGAAUCGAGGAUACUUUCGAAACAUCGAGAGAACUGUGAGACUAUCGACUUUGACUUUGGGAAGAUUUGGCUGUGCAUAUUGCGCACCGGAUUGCCGCAGCUGCUGCGGUUUCCGGGCCUGAUGGCCAGUUGGCCGAAUUAUUGCUAAAUUGCGUUCUUCCUUCCAUCAAAAAUGCACGUGGUAACGCUUAUGAGAUUUGCAUGUAAAAUAUAUUUUCAUUCUCCAAAUAUU